AGUGAACGCUGGCGGCAGGCCUAACACAUGCAAGUCGAACGGCAGCACCGUGGAGCUUGCUCCAUGGGCGGCGAGUGGCGGACGGGUGAGGAAUACAUCGGAAUCUGCCCAGUCGUGGGGGAUAACAUAGGCAAACUUAUGCUAAUACCGCAUACGACCUACGGGUGAAAGCGGGGGAUCGCAAGACCGCGCGCGAUUGGAUGAGCCGAAGUCCGAGUAGCUAGUUGGCGGGGUAAUGGCCAACCAAGGCGACGAUCGGUAGCUGGUCUGAGAGGCUGCUCAGCCGGACUGGAACUGUGACACGGUACAGGAUCCCACGGGGAGGGGCAGUGGGGAAUAUUGGACAAGGGGCGCAAGCCUGAGCAAGCCAUGCCGCGUGGGUGAAGCAGGCCUUCGGGUUGUAAAGCCCUUUUGUCCGGAAAGAAAAGUCCCGGGUUAAUACCCUGGGGUGAUGACGGUACCGGAAGAAUAAGCAUCGGCUAACUUCGUGCCAGCAGCCGCAGUAACAC
rnacentral:rRNA from 1 species